AUAACGGAGAGUUUGAUCCUGGCUCAGAACGAACGCUGGCGGCGCGUUUUAAGCAUGCAAGUCGAGCGAAUGGCCAACUUCGGUUGGACGGAAGCGGCGGACGGGUGAGUAACACGUGGGUAAUCUGC
rnacentral:rRNA from 1 species